rnacentral:rRNA from 1 species
AAGGAAUAUUGGUCAAUGGACGCAAGUCUGAACUAGCCAUGCCGCGUGAAGGAUGAAGGUCCUCUGGAUUGUAAACUUCUUUUAUCUGGGACGAAAACGGGAUUUUUAUCUCAAUUGACGGUACCAGAGGAAUAAGCACCGGCUAACUCCGUGCCAGCAGCCGCGGUAAUACGGAGGGUGCGAGCGUUAUCCGGAUUUACUGGGUUUAAAGGGUGCGUAGGUGGGCUUAUAAGUCAGUGGUGAAAUCUCCGAGCUUAACUUGGAAACUGCCGGUGAUACUAUAGGUCUUGAAUUAUCUGGAGGUAAGCGGAAUAUGUCAUGUAGCGGUGAAAUGCUUAGAUAUGACAUAGAACACCAAUUGCGAAGGCAGCUUACUACAUAUAAAUUGACGCUGAGGCACGAAAGCGUGGGGAUCAAACA